rnacentral:rRNA from 1 species
UACGAACUGUGCAAACGUUAUUCGGAAUCACUGGGCUUAAAGGGUGCGUAGGCGGCUUAUUAAGCAGGGUGUGAAAGCCCCCGGCUCAACCGGGGAAUAGCGCUCUGAACUGAUGAGCUGGAGCGAGGCAGGGGUGCGCGGAACUUCCAGUGGAGCGGUGAAAUGUGUUGAUAUUGGAAGGAACACCGGAGGCGAAAGCGGCGCACUGGGUCUUGUCUGACGCUGAGGCACGAAAGCCAGGGGAGCAAACGGG